rnacentral:rRNA from 1 species
UACGAAGGGGACUAGCGUUGUUCGGAAUCACUGGGCGUAAAGCGCACGUAGGCGGAUGUGUCAGUCAGGGGUGAAAUCCCGGGGCUCAACCUCGGAAGUGCCUUUGAUACAGCACGUCUCGAGUCCGGAAGAGGUGGGUGGAAUUCCUAGUGUAGAGGUGAAAUUCGUAGAUAUUAGGAAGAACACCCGUGGCGAAGGCGGCUCUCUGGGACGGUACUGACGCUGAGACGCGAAAGCGUGGGGAGCGAACAGG